GGACUCUGGCUUGCUGCGGUGCACACACAAGAGGCGAGAG
rfam:HIV-1 clone 93TH902-2 country Thailand, partial genome.